ensembl:lncRNA
CCCCCCCUCCUCAUAGUAAUUAAUGCUACUUCACCAAAAGACCAUAUAAAAACAAAAAAUCGAAAAGAAUCUGGUUACAUAUCAGAAAUACCAGCGACGACCAAAUCAGACCAGGGGCAUAAAGUGUGUAUGUGUGACAAAAACCCAUAUCUAAAACAAUUAUAAUAAUCUCCAUAUAUAUGGGACCUAAUGUAGCUAUCAGUAUAAUAAUUACACUUACAUAUAUUACAAAAUUGUCAGCCAACAACAAUGGGGAAGUGUGAUUCACUAAUAACCGACGUAAUGGACAGUUCAAAUGAACCGUGACACAAUGAAGCUUAUAAUUAGUACGACAAUUUAAAAAUGUUGUCGUAGACAUUGAAUAUUUUUUACCCCGGUUAUUUAGUGACACGACAGCUUAGUGAGAGCAACACAAGAGAGAAUAUUAACGGAUAAGUCCGGGGAUAUUCUACAUUUUUUGUCAUCUAAUCCCAUGAGCAGACCGAAACCAACUAAGAUUUGAUCCCACUAUUAUUUUCAGAGGAGUCAAAGCCCGAUGUAGCUUAUUCCUCUUAUUCCUCCUAUGAGAUUAAAAACAUAGUGUUGCACCCUCAUUACCAUGAACACACAGUGUAUUGCUAUCCUGCUGCCUAGUGCUCACUCGAGCGGCAAAUACAUAUUAAUCCACAGUUGAAAUAGUCCACAAGAAAUUCACUGUUUAGCAACUCCUGUUUGAGUAACAAAGUUACUGUUGAGUAAUUAAAGGCACGGCUGUUUUAGGAAAUAACUGAGCAUUUUAGGAAAAUUAAAGUACAUAACCCAUUUUCAGAAUUUACAUCUUCAGGUCCCACAGUAUUGAGAUAUUGAUCUUUUUUUAUCUGAUUUGUUGACAAAACAAAAAAAGGGAAUUAAUAUGAGGCUUAUCCUCGAAUGUACUAUUAGGUUGAUAUUUUGAGAGCCUAACUUUUGACAAUCAUAAACUGUUCUUAAAAUAAGUACUGCCUACUACAUUGUAUGUUUUAAGGGACACUGGAGAUGAGUUUAAAUCUACUUGGUAAUUUAGGAAUCCACAUGGAUACGAUGUCAGGCUAAUAGGCAAGAGUGUCAGAACUGUAGCCCGGGGGUCCGGAGUGAGCCACUAUCAGCUGUAGGUACAAAUUUUGUCCGCAAAUCUGUCACUGGAGGAUGAAUGACCGGAUUUACAACCUAUUUCUGUUCCGUCAUCGAGGAAUACAUGCACUUGGGCUACGGGCUCUGCAGCUCUAGGAAGUGAUUGCCCUGGUUUGUGGAAUUUGCUGCAUCAGACAGACUGCAAGUCGUCCCGUCUCCUGUGCGGCGCAGAACUUCAAAUGCAGAUGAGAAAAUGGUGCCAUGGGAAAAAAAAUUAUAUAUAUUAUUAAAAUGAGCAUUCCUUUGCUGUGCAAUGCUUUUAAAAGUCUUGCAUGUAUUUUAAACAUUAUCGACCACCAGGGGGUUUUCGGGGACGUCAGACUCCCUUGAUGGAAGAAGGCAAAGAGAAAGCGUUCCCUUGAACUCUGCUCUUCAAAUAUACACAAUGUCGAAUAAUUAAUCCCAAUCCUUUUCCUUUUAUUUUUGGAUUGUAAGCGACCAACGAUAACCGACAGCAGUUUCGCUAUUCAAGCAGGAAAAAGAAGUCUCUCCGAAAGACGGGAGGCAAAAAGUUGGCUUUCCCUCACAGACAGACCGAGAGACAGAUGGGUAGAGAAAGAGCUGUUGUGGGGGAAGCAAACACGCAAAUACACAAGUAAAAAGCAUUACUUCUAUCGUUAUGAUGAUGAUGCCAGCACCGCACUGACUGGUAUGGGGCGCCGUUUGUAAAAUGUUGUACGUUCUAAAAACCUGCGCAGUAUUUCCACAUUUAGCAUUAUCAUAUGAACAAAAAAGAACGACAAUAUUCACAUGUCACUUUUUCAAACAUUUAGAGAGAAUUUCAUGUAUAACUUUUCCAAGGAUAAUGUUUGGCAGUAACAAAGUUGUUAAAUAAUAUAAAUGUUAAAUCUAAAUGUAAAUGUAAAUGUUAAAUGUUACAUCUAAAUGUUAAAUGUUAUAUAUAAAUGUUAAAUCUAAAUGUUAAAUCUAAAUGUUAAAUGUUAUAUCUAAAUGUAAAAUCAAAAUCUAAAUGUUAAAUCUAAAUCUAAAUGUUAAAUGUUAUAUCUAAAUGUAAAAUCUAAAUCUAAAUGUUAAAUCUAAAUCUAAAUGUUAAAUGUUAUAUCUAAAUGUUAAAUCUGAAUGUAAAUGGUAAAUGUAAAUGUUAAAUGUAGAGUCUACAUUUAGCUCUACAUUUAACAUUUAAGACUGAACAUUACAAUAAUUAAUAAUAAAAACAGAGUUAGGCUGCCGCGUGACACGUGUGUUGUUGACGUGUAGCCUUUUGUACUAAGCAUGUCGCUGAGCUACCACAGUCUAAGUCAAAUUAGGAAACAUGUAGGGAAGAGGACAGGGGACAGGCUGGUUUAAAAAUCUGUAGUUGGACUAGUUGGAUUGAAUUAUUGACAAACGUUAGCCUCGUCAAAACCUUUACAAAUGAUUUAGUUAAAGCUAGAAUGUUGCUCUUGUUUUGACAUAUUUUUUUUAUAAAUGUGCCAUAACAUGGGUUCGGCUUGUAUUACCAUUAUCCAAUACAGUGCUCAUUCAUUCAUAUUUGUAAAACUACUCCAGUACAACAGCACAGGGUACAGCAGUAUUGGGUUUGUUAACCUCUUGCAUUAUAAGCCGCCAAGGUGGAACGCAACUCGGGUUGAACAUGAUCAAUCAAUCAAAAACGGGUAGGUUCCACUUUGCGCAUUCGGCAGAGACAUUAGCCGCGGUGACGCUUGCCUUGUCAUGGACAUACGCAGCCACUCGAGUCUCCACCGCAUCAAUUAGUCUAGCCAUCAGCGGUGUGUCGGCCUGGCAUAACCUGUCACGCUUUCAGGCAGAGCGUGGAUAACAACAACAUUGGCGAGAGUCAAGGGGGACAACGUGUCCUAAACGUUGAGUCUGGAAUCGACUGAAAAUGUGCAUCAGUGCAUUGCAUUUUUUGUUAACAGAUAAAUGCUACAACUCCUCAGGAUCCGUGUGGAGCUCUUGUGUCUUGCUUUUCAGUCAGCUAUUGAUUCAAGUGGAGGGAAGGGGGGGGGGUGACCUUUGGUUUAAGGUGGACCAUUAGUUUAUAUGGUUAUUAAGGACCAAUUUCCAGACACGAGUGUAACACAGUGAAAGCACCUUCCUCUUUAGUUCUGGAAGUAUUACUGAUUACUGAACAUUUCAGGGAAGAAUGUUUUUUUUUCAUAGGUUUUGUGGGGCUGAGACGGCUCUUACUACUAAAACCCCAAAUGGGCCUCAGGGAUGCUUCCAAGACUAUAUUGAAUAUGAAAUAAAAGUGAUGUACACUCAAUCACGUUUUUCUGCAGCAACGCAAAGCAAAAUGGAAAGCUACACUUUAAAUUUUAAUCAAUCUGGUUAAAUUAAACAAAUUGGACAGUCCUUUUUUAGACUCAAUGUUGUACGGAAUAUCUGUUCCCAUUUCGAGAGAUAGGAGUUAAAUCCUUUACUACUUCUCACAAGAAACUUUAAACCGCCAGCCGAACCUCCGAGAGCUCCGACACAGUGGCAGCAUGUGAAUAGUUGCUCGCCUGUGGCUUCACAUUAGAUACGAAUGUGUGGCUCGGCGUGUUAUUGUGCGCAUGUAUAUGUGUGUACUGAAUUUGCAAGUACGCAAGUGUGUAUGUGUGUGCUGUGUCACUGUAUUCGUGUCGGUUUCAGUGAGAACAACGUGCCCUCUCAGAGUAACUGAAAGUGGAUGAGCCUGAGGGGCCCGUAGGGGUUGGUAAAAAUAGCCCCGAGGCUGAUUAGGAGCGCGUCGGCGGGGGGAUUUUAAAAAACCUGCUCAUUACAGCACCUGUAAGGCCUCUUUAAGUAGCCCUUCUGCAGAACCCAGAUGCUCACAUCUGCCAAGAGCUGUUCGCCAUGCCCGUAAACUUCUCCCGCGCAUUCCUCCAGGGGCGGGACAUCACGAUGGAAGACGGCGACAAUGGUGGGUAAAAACUCUGGCCUCAAUACAUCCCAACACAAGAAGGUAACUUCAUCUAUACUUCAUCUCUAUGCUUGAAUAUUUAAUAACACCCUCAUUUUGCUAUCACCGUUCCCCAUAUGGACCAGGAAAGUUUUACGUUCAACCUUCAGUUUAAAGACAAGCUUGAUCCGAAAUUUCCCUCCAUUUUGCGUAUGGAGGCCGUCAAUGGUACGAAGCGGAGGAGAGGUUUAUGAGCGACUGCACCCCACGCACUCCUAAUGGAAAAAGUGACACGGUUUAGAAAGCAGAAGGAACCCACCACUUCUUUAAAACAAUAACACAACACAGCUCAACCGUGGUUGAUUUAAGUCGUCCUCUACGAAGGGUAUACAAACUUUCCAAGAGCGGUGCUCGGCGCCGUUAUUGAACCAGCAAUCUGUGGGGUCUGAGGAGGCUACGCCCCACUGUCAAAGUGCUGCUAUGAAGCCUCAGCCUGCCCCCGACCCCGGUUGACUCCCAUCAGCCCUCCUGCUGGGACAAUAAAACAAACGAACCCCCACAGACAGGCUGUUUUGAAAUGUGCUGUACUGAAGUCUGUUCCUGGAUGACUCUUGGAAGGAGACACAGAGGGAAAGACAGAUACAGAAAGAGAACGGGAAGGAACUUUGUCUGUUGUUUAUAUCUGUGAUAACAAAUAUGAUCAAACGAUUUUUUUUGCCCUAGAUAGCAAAAAUAUUUCAUAAAACUGCAUCAUAACACACUUGUAGCAACAACAAUUCAUCGUGGUUCUGCUUCUGAUGUUUGGACAUUGGUUGAUUUCAGCUCUGUUAGUGAUAUAUGUGGAAAUUCGGUUCCUGGCACGGGUUUUUGGCAAACAGCUUGGUUUGGAUUUAAUUCAUGAUGUGAUGAACUACUGGAUGCUGCCACGUUUUCUGCUUGGAAUUCUUUCAAGCAUUUCAUUUUCUCUUUUAUUUACCCAAUCUGUGUGCUAUGUGCAUGUAGAUGCACACACCCAUACAGAUGUAAGAAUAGAUCAUCGCUUUGCUUGGUCAGAAUAGCAAGUUUUCAUAGAGUUUCUCAUCUUCAUAAUUGUCUAUAUGCAAGAGGUGUAUUGAUAAACAGAAGUCACAGAUCGGUUCAUGGUCAGAAAUUGAGAAAAUCCUUGCUGUGGAGUGAGGUAGCUUGGUGCUGCACCAUGUGCAUAGAUCUACAUUCCUCUGCGUGUAGCUCCCCGUACCGAGGUAGUCCAGUACAGCGCUGCUCAAUAUAUAGAGCUGAAAUACACUGAUGUUGUACUUGGAAAGCUUAAGCCCACUUCAGUUUGUAAACAGGUGUAUCGACACACAUCAUUUCUAAACGGCCACGUUUCAUAUAUUUGUAUUCGUCAAGAAGUGUAGGUAACCUGCUCCUGGUUGCCGAAACUUAAAUUUACAUUUAAAUAUGCACACAUUCAUGAUUGAAACCUGCCCAGUAAAUUACAGUCAUCCUGUGCGUGCUGGCGACUAACCUCCACAUGUACACACAAAUGCAAAAAGGUACACAUAUAUGCACCUCCUUGCAUACAAAUGUCAAACACAAGCUUUCCACCCGCGAAUCUACCACCCAUCCUUUAAUCUUUUCUAUCCUUUCUUUUUCCCACUGCAAACACACUCCAGCCACAGCUGUAGGUUUUCACCUAAUCCCACUGUCCUCUCAUGUUAUAACAGCUCUGAACCCGAGCCCUCAGAGAGAGGGGGAUCGCCCACACCGUGUUUUCACAGACCCGCAGCAUCUGGGCCUGUGGACGUCACUCCUACAGUGUCCUGUUCAGGGUCAAGGACACAUUGGGGGAUCAAAAAAAAAAAGGAGUAGAAAUAUAUCACUUGUUAAAGAAAAUAUAGUUUGGGAGAGGUGGAUGAAUGAAUGAUCCUGUAGCAGAUGUUUCAAGCUCGGUGAGAUCUUGUAGAUUUUUCUAUAGAGUUUUACAAACCACCUUCUUUUUGUGUUCAGUUCCACCAAAAAAAUACAGCAAGUGUAUAUUGCAGUAAUUAAUUUGUGUCUUGAUGAUGUUGGCAGCUUAAACUGGACUUCACGCCACCCCCUCCUUCUCUCACCUUUUCUCUUUUCCUCCACAGUUUAUUUUCUCCUUUUCAUCUCCUUAUUCCAUUGCCUCCUCCAUCUCUCUGUCUCUCUCUCCUGGAUCACGGCCCUCCUGACCUGCUGAGUCCAGAGCACACAAACACAUUUCCUGUGAUGUCUGCCAGCUGCCUGGUUAAGCUUGGCUCACCCCAGAUCAGCCAUGGCUCCGCUUUUUCCUGUUGGCCACCGCUGAACCGCCCGGCCUGGCUGAAACAAUCAUAUGGUCCCCAGCCUUUUCCAGGCAUUUCCUGGGUCACCUGAGCAGCGUACGGCCCUCCCUCUCCCACAUCCUCCCGCUGCCUGCCCCUCGCUGGCUCUUCCUGCCUGGUUUGGAAGGUCCUGAGAGGGGUCAGGGUGGCCUGGCGUGCAUGAGGGAGCCACACUGCGGAUAUUUAUUAUUUCAUUUAAGUCCUCCCUUUGCUCCGGAGAGAGUAGCGGGACCACUGAUGUCUAACGAAGGUUGAAAGGUGACCGUGUGAACUGUUGAACCCCCGAGAAGCAAGGUUGUUGUUUUUUUUGUGGGUUUUUGAAUGUGUGUUUGCGAGAGUAAACGGCUCUUAAAAAAAGGGCCCCCUGAAGAGUUAAGCAACCAUGGGUUUAUGUGACAUGAUAAAUUCAAAAGAGAGCAUGAGAACGAAGGGCCACACGCAAACACAGACACACACAUGGUCACAGCUGUGCAAUUUGGGGGAGAUACGUGGAGUACUGUUUAAGUAAUUGCAUCAUUUGUUUUAUGUUGUUUGGCAACAGCAUAGCAUCUACACCUUUACACCCACUCUGUUCUCGCAAUGUUAUUUAGGGGAAAUUCCAGUUACAUUAAACCCGGGUCUUAUUUUCGUAGCUUUUGCCAUCGAUCCUAUCUGUGAUACAACGUAUAAAAAAGGUAAUUGCCGAGAUCUGGGAACAUGGACACAGUUAAACACAAGUUCCACAGGGCAAGAAGCAUGAUCGGUCAGAUGAUCAGAUUAGUUUUUAAAAUAGCUCCCUGGAAAAACACGCAUUACUUCUGUGGAAAAGCGAAAUUUGACCAAUUGUAAAAAUCUAUCACAGUUUAGGCUGGAAUUAAAGCUUAAUGUGCGAACCCAAGGUUGUACGGGUAGACGUAAUAGGUCGCUCGCGUACUACCAAUCUGAUAAUGUUAUUUGUGCUCUUGGACUGUGUUUAAGCAAGGUAACCCCAUUCCACGAUCACAGCAAUUACUUUGCUAAGUACAGUGUUGUCAUAACCUCUAGAAACGACGGCCACGGAGACGAAAAAUAAGACCAAUUUAAAAAAGUUUGCAAUCUUGGUUAAAAAGAAUUUAACAAGCAGCAGUCUGUCUGUGGCUCAGUCAUUACACACUCAUGCUGUGCAGCCGUAUAUCGUCCAGCCGACAUGACUUUAUUUGGAAUUCUGAGUUCCAAAGUUUCCAAAAAAUAUCAGAUAUGUUUGAGUUUUGGCGAAAUGUGUAUUAAAUGAUGCAUCAGCUCCCUUAAAGAAAUUGUAAAAAUAAUGAUGCAGCUGCAAAAAAUUUUUUUUUUUAAAAGUCCUGGGUUUGAAAAUUUAAUUCAGUUAGUGUUGUCAAGCAUUGGUACCACCGUGAUUUAAUAUUUAUUUUCUGCAGCAUUGAUACACUGACUACCACCUGUUCUUUGUUGUCUCUUCUCUAUGACAGCCAGUUGACACAAUCACGGCUUUUUAUAAUAAUCUAAAAUGUAAUGUGCUCAUGGUGUGUUCCGUUUGUCCUUUAUUUGUAUUGGUAUUAAGGAGUUUUAACAUAUGUCUGUAUACAAAGUAUUUGCACUACAUUUGUGAAUGAGUGUGUGUGUGUUUCAUUAUGUGUUCCUGCAUUGCCAAACGGGGGUUCGACCUGUUAGUGGAAGUUCCAACGCAGUCUGGCCAAUAUCAUUUUCUUCCCCAAAGCCAAAUGGAGGUUGAUUGGGGAGCCGGAGCACGACAAACCAAAGCAGCCCAGAGUUCUAACAUCAUUAUCGGGCUGAGAGAAGCAAUAAAGCCAAGUCUGGGGAGAUUACCUCUGCUGCAGCCAGAGUACAAAUCCACCGCUUUCAGGUCGGUGCAUGUGAACUUUUUGUCCAGUCUUGUACAACAACAUGAUAGAUGGUGAAGUCUUGAGGCCGCAUGUGACCACAUCCUGGUUUUCAUCACCCGGAGAACCCACGGAUACAUUUAUAUGUCACUGCUUAUUGCAGAGCGCUUGCUACAACCUCAGAGAGAGAGAGAGAAAGAGAGAGAGUUUUCACAAGAGUUACCACAAGGCUUUAAUGUCAUAUUGUAACUUGCUGCCUCGGUACCACGAAGCAACAGAUAAAGGUAUCGCUUAGCGGAACAGGACAGAGAUGGAUCCCAUCUGCAUCCAGUUGCUCCAGGGGGGGGGCAGGGAGACAGGGGGGAGGCGAUGAGAUAAAUGAUUUUUACAAACAUGAUGAAUGGCUGAGACCGGCGAUGACAGGUUUUGAGUGACGGGUUACAGGUGUAGACCCUCCCAAUUCCCAAAACUCUUAAACUCAAAAACCCACGGUCACUCCCCUCCUUUCCUCUUGCGAGGAAACGAGUGCGACAGCCGCUCUCGUCCAGCCGCCGGCGGGCCAGCCGCGACGGCGUUGGCCCGACUUAGGUUAUUAGGAAAUGCGUGACCUCUGACCCAGUGUAAUAAACACGGUUAGCGACGUCUGUGAAGUCGGGCUGUCGGUAGUCACCAGCUGAAUCCCCGGGACUUUGCUGCUUGUUUGCUGCACUCCGUCUUUGUCAAGCCGAGAAACAGUUAAGCUGUCACACGUCAGAGGAGUAGCAGCCUGUAGUGCAACGCGGUACCAGUUGGCCUGAUUGUUGGGAAGAAAAGGGGAAAUCAAAGGGGCUGCAGAAACAGCUGCAGAUGAGGAUAGAGUUACAAAAUAAAGAUGACGAGGACCAGGCCGGACUGUGAUCAUUUGUUGGGAGACCGACUGUCGAGGUUUACAGCCAUUACAGACGGGCUGGUAUUUAAGUUUUGACAAGACGUCGCCUUUCACUAACGUCUGCCAUCAACAUUGCUUCUGAUCUGGAGUGGCGUCAGAAUUGACGCGACGAUUGAGAAUACGCUGAAACCGUAUUAAUGCGCCCUGUCAUUUACUUUUAACGUCGUUCCUCGCUGCCAAAACACCCGCUGUUUUGACUUCCUCUUUUUUUUCCGCCUCAAAAAAGUAACGUUUCGUUCUGGCCGGUCUGGAGACUAAUGGUGUGGCUGUCUGGUCGGUUUCUUAUAAUUAGGUCUAGGGGCUGUGAACCUUUCCGUAUGACAAUAUUUAAGAUUUAACUGUAAAUCCAAAACUAUUUCCGAUUCAAAAUCCAUUCUCCCUUCAGCACAUAACAGUCAUACCAUACCGUCAUGUCAGGUCAUGCUCCAUUUUACCCUCUUAAAUGUAAGCAGUAAUUAUGGCAUCAAAGCAGAUAAAGUGUGUAUAGGGGCUUUUUUAAAAUUAAUUCUAAGUGACUUCAAAAACAACAAAUUCAACCUGAAAUGCUGCCAGUUGCAUCAAUAAAAGGGCGAGGCUAGCAGGCUUCUUCUUAUUGAUAUCACAUUGAAUUAGCACAGAGUUAGACAUGUUUUUUCUAAUUAAAUACUGACAUAAUAACUCAAUAUCGAUUCUUUUGUUGAAAGAAAGGUUUUAAAAUGUGUUAUUGGAACUUGUGAAUAGAUUCGACACCUUUCAAGAACCUUGAUUCUUACAUACAAUAGAGGUUCUCUCCCCAUCCUUAAUUAAUAAGGAGGGCUGAAAAUGAAAUGACUCACAAUUCUUUCAGUCUACCUUUUCUAUUAAUUAACUAACUGAUUCAUCAUUUCAGCUCAAGUUUUACUGCUCUUCAAUAUCUAUGUUUAACCAUUUCAGCUUUUGCGCUCCCUUUUACAAUGAGUUAUAAUAUUUCUUUAAUACACAUGUCUCCUGCUGUUAUCUGUAAAAUUAUUAUUUUAACAAAGCACAGACAUUUUCUCUACCUUUAAUUUAUGCGAAGAUAUUAAAUUGUGAGGGCUUAAUAAAAACAUCACAGUAGUUGGCAUUACAUCCAAACCUACGAUGAACACUGGGAACUAUAUGAAAUGAAAAUUAAACACGAAAGUCCCGGUUGCUUCAAAUUAACCAGUAUAUCAAUUUAAGUUAGUGACAAUUUCAGUUAGAGUAACUGUUUGAGUGACUGAUUAAUUCAUUUACUGAUAAACCAUCGUACAGGACUGGCAUGUGUGUAGUUGCAUACCGCCACAUGAUCGUUCAUUUGUAUGGAAAGGAAGAGCUUCGGGUUAAAAAGAGAACAGUCCGUGGGGGCCGGAGGGAUGAAGACAACGAGAAAAAGCUCUUCUUCUCUUCGGCUCCUCUUCUCAUGCAGCACUUCUUCCUUAGAGUCAAAACAAAAAGGCAGCAGCAGGGAGACCACGGGCCUGAAUCGCACCAGUCCAUAAAUGGACCUGAUAUCUACAUGAACUUCUGAUAUCGCAUCCUCCUCUUUUUAGUUUCUCUCUCCUCACACGCUCUCUCUCUCUCUCUCUGCGGCCCUGCAGCGGCUCCCCAGUAACUCUGGGAGAGAUGUGUGUUGUGCAUGUGACCAUUAACACAAGAUCACAUCGCCAGAACUAAAGUAUAAAGUUUUCAGCGCAACCUUUUACAUGGCCAAAGACAAGGAAGCCUGCUUUUCUUUCCUUUGGUUUCUCCUUUUCUCUCUUCCUGUCUCCUUUUCUGCAUCGGUAAUGACCAGCAGACAGUGAGUAAUAUGGCAGGGAAUUACGCGGUAAUGUCCAUUCUUCUUACGUGAGCGGAUAAACUUGUGAAAGUAGGACAUUGGCGAUCAGAAAAGCCCCCUCCUGACUCUAAAGAAAAAAUAAAAAAAAAAUAAGGAGAGGCAGCGGUCACCUUGGAUACAGCGAACCUCCAAUUUUCUUUUGCAAUAACACAAACACAUACGGACGGAGGCACACACAUGCCUGCAAAAUCAAAGACUUGCUCCAAUUCAUAUUCUCUCUCUCUCUCCUUCACGCACACACACACACACACACACACACACACACACACGUAUGCACACCCAGUGGGAGACUUUACAGAGUGCCUCGAUGUUCAACCUCGCUGUUGCGCAGAGCUCAUGAAAUCUGGCUGUCAUGCAUCCGCUUGACAGGUAUCCUUGACAAAGCAAAUCCCAAUCUAUAUGCAGCGUGGCAGGCGGGGACCUUGUCAAAUGCUAAUGCCAGGGACACUUUAGAGGUUGUGGCCCUCUGUGGCUAUUUUCACCCAACGCGCAUGCACCUCUCCUAGGCAUCCUGGUUUGUGGCGCAGUACCAGAGCGAGCCAGCUGGUGGCGGUGCUGCACUCGCUUCAUUAAUCCCCCCCUUUCGCUUUCUCUCCCUCUGCCCUCUCUUCUUGUUAUUCAUUAAAGCGCCUCGGAAUAAUAAGUCCCCAAGAAACUGGGAACAUGUGAUGAAGUCGUAGUUAAUAAUGUAUACGCCCCACCCACCCCUCCUCGCCUCCCAUACUUCGUCUUUUUAUCCCCACUUCUCCCUCUGCCUCCCUCCCUUCCUUCCUUACCUCCCUCCCCAUUGCCCCCCCCCCCCCACCUUCCAACAACACAACUGCUGUUCAGCUUCGCCGCGCUCAAUGCGCCAAUGCCCUUGCUCUGAAUGGGGGGGAAACAUUCCUUAACAUAUUUAUAUCUUAAGCCUCCACCCCCCCUACAAAAAAAAAUGGCGACGUAAAUGGGCUCGUUGGGAAGCUUUCAGAACACAAGAAAUUUCACACCUCAACGCCGUUCUCUUUAAUCACGCUGUCUUAAUAUGGCGGUGACCCCUAACGCAACCAAAUACCUGCCUCCUCGUUGGUCGCUUGGAUAUUCUGGCGGUUUAGAGACGUCCAACACAGAUGGAAAGUGAGCUCACACAAUCUCUACCGCUCAGGCUCUUGUGUAGUGCGUGCGUCUGUGGGGAGAGAUUUGGAUGCUGUGAUCUGCUUCGCUUCGCCUCGACGUGAUGCUCACGGUGACGUAGCGAGCGUCGCGUUUGCGUGCUACAUCCGACUUUGACCUCUGUGCGCUCUGAGCCUAAUGCGGAUCACAUCCCGCCUCGACAUGCAAGUUCAAACGGAGUCAACCACCACAGGCUGUGAGAGCGUGUUUAAACCAUCAAAACCAUUUUAUUUUAUUACCAUUUUUUAUUAUUCCCCCCCCCCCCCCUUUCUCCAUUUCUCUACAAGAAAUCCAACCUCAACCCUAAAAAUAUCCAGGAUUUAAUCAGCAUUCAGGCCCGUGGCUUGUGGGGGGGGGCGACCUACGAAUUGUCCUCUCAGCCUGAGCCAGAAUCCAUACACAACAUGUAUGGAUCCAUAGACAGUAUGCUUGGAUUCUGCAGAUGCCAUUGUGAACAUCUCGCAGUCACUGUGCACCUACAGGCCGCUGCUUUCAACGGCACCACUGGAAACAACGGGGCGCCCAUUGUUCUGCUUUGGCGGCUCAAUUAUUGAAGGGCAAGAAUCGAUAGCGUAGCUCCGGAGUAUUUUUUAUAAGGAUCUGAGUAAUGCAUACAGCUCAUGACAGUGUCACAGGAAAUGGAGGAUAAUACGGUGUACACUGUGGAGAAGCAGGCGCAGGAGAAACCAAAUCGAUUUAAUUUAAUUUGGCUCAGCCCGCCUUAUUUCAAGGUGGGUUUUUUCACUCAAAAGGGCAAGAAAAGGAGAAUCUGGACAAAGUCUCUCUUACACUCCAGCAGGCUUCCUUCUGUUUUUCCCUUUUCUUCCUUUAUUGGUCCUGGAAAGAAAUUACUUGGGUUACUGGAUGAAUUAUUUACUCAAACAAUUUACUGUAUCCGUCAUGCGUCUCUCGCAUUCCCUCUCAGUCCUUCUGUCUCUCAUAAGCUCCAGAUGCAAAUGUGACUGUGUCCCUUUCCCCUAUAAAUAGCGGCCGCCAGAGGGUUUCUUCCAGGAGUCAGCCACAGUUUUUCUCCCGUACCAAAAUAACCAGAGGAGGGGAGAGCAACACUGUGGCAAUACAGACAUUCUCACAUGCAGUCGGAAUACUCCAUCGGCAUAGAGAUAAGUAAGGAGGGGAGGAAAAAAAAAGUUGAGUGAUUCGUCAGCAUGACCUGGAGGAGGCUCCUGAUUGGACACCUCGCUGUUGGUGCUCUGUCAUGAUUGGUUGUUGCAACGUGCCCCAGUUUGGUGUGUGUAUCUUCCCCUCAUGGUUGGAGACUUGAGUUGAAUCUCACAACUGUCCAUGAUAAUAGGAACUUCCCAAAUGUCCUUUCGAUGAUGGUCUUGUGUAUUGCAGUGUUAUUAACACGGAUGAUGAGCUGAGGCCCAUUUAGAGAAAUUGAGAAUAUUGCAACGUCUUUAGUGAUUGCCUUGUAAAUUUCAUUGACGAUUUUAUAAGUUGCAUGGCAACAUCUUUAUUUUUGCUUUUAAAAAUGUGUCAAUUCUUACUUAAUUAUUGAUCAUGUUUUAAUCUGUUGAGUGUCUCAUGCCUUCUAUGCGUUUUUAUCAAAUGUAUUUCAGGGUCAUUUUGUGGUUUACAGAGCAGCGACUACAUGGCUGAAGGAAUGAUUCAGAGGGAUAAAGUGAACCACCAAUAGACCGACUGUGACAGAGACACAAACACAGAUAUUCGGUAUAUCACUAUUUCGCCAUAUUUGGUGAAGUAGAUUAACAAAUUGCUGCAAAAUCUCACAAAAUGAACGGUAGGCGCCAUCUUAAUGGUAAAUGCAUAAACAGACUACAUAGAUCUAGUUAGGUUGUAGUUAUAAAGAAAAUGAUAUUUUGAGAAAAAGGAAUUAAAUCAAUUGGGAUAUUGUUAAGAAGCCGUAUUGUGGUGUCUUUUUCCUUACAAACUACUUUUGUGAAUACAGCUCAUGAAAAAUUAAACAUUUUUCAUAAUUUCCUCAAGUAAAUUGACAACAGCUGCAUUAAAAUGUGUUUUUAUAUAUGUUUUUUUCAGUUUUCUUUACCAAGAGACACUAGUGUUCUUGAAAAUGUUCAUUAUUUGUUAAUUGACCUGAUUGAAUAUUCAUUACACACAUUUGAAAUGUAAAAACUAUCCAAAUUUUAAAUGUUGAUCAAUAAAAACUAAAAAAAAUACUAGGCUCUUUUUAUGAAAUAAAAAGCACUAAUGUGUAAGCCUUUCUUUUUUUUUCAAACAAACUUCUAAUUCCAUUUACUGACAAUCCAAAUGUUUGGGUUUUCUGUGUUAAUUAAAUUUGUCACUCGGAAGGGCUCCGCUUCUACUUCCUUCCCAAAAAAUGUUAACGAUGAAUAAACUUCUACUUUGUGGUGAAAAUUCAUUUGGAUCUCUUCCUGGAGGAUGGAGAAACGUCCUGGCAGAUUUUUGGAUUGAAGAAAACUCUUGUGGAGGAUCUGAGCGAAAGUGACGCAAACCCCAUUAAUACACACUCACUCCGAUCCCUUUCACUUUCAUUUCAGUGGCACAACCCAUAGAUAUUAUGCAGAGGUGCACAGACAGUCCCUCCUCUCCGUCCUCAUAAUGGAGGCUGUAUUGUUUCACAGUUGAUUGUGAAGACGGCACAAAGUGAUCCUGAUGAAGUCUUCAUUUUCCAUCCUAGCAAACUAAUCAAUUUCAUUUUUUUCCCCCUUGCCCCCCCCGCCAUUCUAUGCCUGCCUCCUUCUCUGUCUCUUCCUAAAAGCCCGACACAGAGCCAUGAGUGAGACAAACAUCCAUGGAAAUCAUUUUAUUAAAGACUGCCAUCAUAUAUCCGUGGUGCUAACACUGUGAAAGCAAAAUUCAUAGCAAUUCAAUUAACUAAAAGGAACAGGGGAAUGGAAAACGUCUCUGCUGGAUAAUAUUCGCUUUACUCGCCAAGCUUAUCGGAAAAAUACAAAAACAAGGACAAAUGUGUGAGAAAACCCAGCUGUACAAGUGAAGAAAGUUAUUUAUGAAAACAAACGUGCUUGUAGUUUUGUAGAUGUCGCUGCGAUGUGAUUGCAUGGGUUUAUUCAUACAUUCAAAUCUGUCUAAGAGUGCUGGUAAAGAAAUGGAGUAUGUAGGGUCACGUCCGUGGAGCACAAUUUGAGGAAUGAGGAUGAAAUAGUGUUGAAAAAAUAAAUCCAAAAUGCAGACAAAGCUAUUUUGCUUGCGUAACCACAGCGCAGCCAUGCACGGCCUUAAACACGGAGCGUACUGCACAAUCUAAAUAAAUGGCAGCCUCUCGUUACUUAAUGCAUUCAGUCAAACAAACCUGAACUGCAUUCCCCGCGAAUGAUAUCGCUGUUGAAAAUGCAUGAACUCUUGUUCACAAGCCCAACCUUUUCCUGAAGAGACUGUGCUCUUGAAUUGUUUAAAUCCCUCUCGCUCUCCGUCUACAAUUCCCACUACAGGACACAAGGCGCGAGGCCCGCGUCGCCAAGGAGUCAAGCCGCCCUGAGUCCUGAGACAGGCGGCCUAUAAUCCAGCGGUGUUUUCAAAGCAAGAUGAAGGGGCAAUGGAGUGCACACAAGUGCAGAUUUUAGUGGAGCAGCUAAGCUAUGGUAAAAUAUUUGGACCCAACAGAGCACGGAUUUAGCCUCUGAAACUGCUCGCUCCACUCCACGCCAUUUUUAGAGUCUGUGAAUAUAUGGAUGACUUUUGUCAAAUUGGGUUUGUGCUCAUUUCAAGUAUUUUGCCUGUCAGAGGGGGAAUGUAAGGAAAGUCUACACAAUGGGAUCCAAUUUUGACCUUGAGAAAGAAUAAAACUAUUUU